GGUAUGGGAUGAGCUUGCGUCCGAUUAGCUAGUUGGCGGGGCAACGGCCCACCAAGGCGACGAUCGGUAGCCGGCCUGAGAGUGUGAUCGGCCACAUUGGGACUGAGAUACGGCCCAGACUCCUACGGGAGGCAGCAGUAGGGAAUAUUGCACAAUGGGGGAAACCCUGAUGCAGCAACGCCACGUGUGGGAAGAAGCAUUUCGGUGUGUAAACCACUGUCAUGAGGGAAUAAGGCCCGCCUUCGGACGGGAUUGAAUGUACCUUGAGAGGAAGCACCGGCAAACUUCGUGCCAGCAGCCGCGGUAAUACGAGGGGUGCAAGCGUUGUUCGGAAUUACUGGGCGUAAAGGGAGCGUAGGCGGAGAUUCAAGCGGAUUGUACAAUCCCGGGGCCCAACCCCGGCUCUGCAGUCCGAACUGGAUCUCUUGGAUAGUUCAGGGGCAGGC
rnacentral:rRNA from 1 species